rnacentral:rRNA from 1 species
GACAAUAAAUCUCAAUACGAAGCCUUUGGUUUUGUAAUUGAAUUGAGAACAAUGUACAAUCGUUAUCGAUAAACAAUUGGAGGGCAAGUCUGGUGCCAGCAGCCGCGGUAAUUCCAGCUCCAAUAGCGUAUAUUAACGUUGUUGCAGUUAAAAAGCUCGUAGUUGAAGUUUAGAUGGUUUGAAGGGGGUGUUAGUAUCAAUGGUACUAUCUGCUCUCUUUGGAUUAUCGACUUCCAGGUAAGUAUAAUGAACCUUUCGGGGUUCGUUAUACCAGACUGGUCUUUUACUGUGAGAAAAUUAGAGUGUUUAAAGCAGACUUUAUUUAGUUUGAAUAGAUUAGCAUGGAAUAAUAAGAUUGGCUUUCAUAGUCGAUUUUUUGGUUUGUUUAUGAAAGCAAGAUUAAUAGGGACAGUUGGGGGUAUUCAUAUUCAAUAGCUAGAGGUGAAAUUCUAUGAUUUAUGGAAAAUGAACAAGG